AGUAACGGUCAUACAAGUUGAAAACAACCUUAAAUCCCUCAGACCUAAGAAGUUGAAAACAGCUUUGGCAGUGUGAGUACUAGUUUGAGCAAUCGACUGGGAAAGCAUUGUACCGUUGCUUU
rnacentral:rRNA from 1 species